rnacentral:rRNA from 1 species
CCUACGGGUGGCAGCAGUGAGGAAUAUUGGUCAAUGGACGAGAGUCUGAACCAGCCAAGUAGCGUGAAGGAUGACUGCCCUAUGGGUUGUAAACUUCUUUUAUAAAGGAAUAAAACGAGGCACGUGUGCCGUUUUGCAUGUACUUUAUGAAUAAGGAUCGGCUAACUCCGUGCCAGCAGCCGCGGUAAUACGGAGGAUCCGAGCGUUAUCCGGAUUUAUUGGGUUUAAAGGGAGCGUAGAUGGGUUGUUAAGUCAGUUGUGAAAGUUUGCGGCUCAACCGUAAAAUUGCAAUUGAUACUGGCAGUCUUGAGUACAGUUGAGGUAGUCGGAAUUCGUGGUGUAGCGGUUAAAUGCUUAGAUAUCACGAAGAACCCCGAUUGCGAAGGCAGCUUACUAAACUGUGACUGACAUUGCUGCUCGAAAGUGUGGGUAUCAAACAGGAUUAGAUACCCUGGUAGUC